AUACGGAGGGUGCAAGCGUUAAUCGGAAUUACUGGGCGUAAAGCGCUCGUAGGCGGCUUGUAAAGUCGGAUGUGAAAGCCCCGGGCUCAACCUGGGAACUGCAUUCGAUACUGGCAGGCUAGAGUAUAGUAGAGGCAAGUGGAAUUCCGGGUGUAGCGGUGAAAUGCGUAGAUAUCCGGAGGAACAUCAGUGGCGAAGGCGACUUGCUGGACUAAUACUGACGCUAAGGAGCGAAAGCGUGGGGAGCAAACGGGAUUAGAUACCCGAGUAGUCC
rnacentral:rRNA from 1 species